ACGUAAGGGGCAAGCGUUGUUCGGAAUUAUUGGGCGUAAAGGGUACGUAGGCGGUUAUGUAAGCCCGGCGUGAAAUCCUGCAGCUUAACUGUAGAAUUGCGCUGGGAACUGCGAAACUCGAGUCAUGGAAGGGAAGUUAGAAUUCCAGGUGUAGGGGUGAAAUCUGUAGAUAUCUGGAAGAAUACCGGUGGCGAAGGCGAACUUCUGGCCAAUGACUGACGCUGAGGUACGAAAGUGCGGGGAGCAAACAGGAUUAGAUACCCUGGUAGUCCGCACCAUAAACGAUGUGCACUAGGUGUUGGGCCGAGCGGUUCAGUGCCGAAGCUAACGUGAUAAGUGCACCGCCUGGGGAGUAUGCUCGCAAGGGUG
rnacentral:rRNA from 1 species